rnacentral:rRNA from 1 species
AAAACAUUAUUGAACGCUGGCGGCAUGCCUUACACAUGCAAGUCGAACGGCAGCACGGGUGCUUGCACCUGGUGGCGAGUGGCGAACGGGUGAGUAAUACAUCGGAACGUACCUUGUAGUGGGGGAUAGCUCGGCGAAAGCCGGAUUAAUACCGCAUACGCUCUGAGGAGGAAAGCGGGGGACCUUCGGGCCUCGCGCUACAAGAGCGGCCGAUGUCAGAUUAGCUAGUUGGUGAGGUAAAAGCUCACCAAGGCGACGAUCUGUAGCUGGUCUGAGAGGACGACCAGCCACACUGGGACUGAGACACGGCCCAG